rnacentral:rRNA from 1 species
CGCACGGGUGAGUAGCGCGUGGGAACCUGCCCAGUAGUGGGGGAUAACCGAGGGAAACUUCGGCUAAUACCGCAUGCGCCCGGGGGAGUGAUCUCUCGGGGAAAGAUUUAUCGCUAUUGGAGGGGCCCGCGUCGGAUUAGCUAGUUGGUGGGGUAAUGGCCUACCAAGGCGAAGACGCGUAGCUGGUCUGAGAGGAUGAUCAGCCACACUGGGACUGAGACACGGCCCAG